rnacentral:rRNA from 1 species
GAUGAACGCUAGCUACAGGCUUAACACAUGCAAGUCGAGGGGCAGCAUGGUCUUAGCUUGCUAAGGCCGAUGGCGACCGGCGCACGGGUGAGUAACACGUAUCCAACCUGCCGUCUACUCUUGGACAGCCUUCUGAAAGGAAGAUUAAUACAAGAUGGCAUCAUGAGUUCACAUGUUCACAUGAUUAAAGGUAUUCCGGUAGACGAUGGGGAUGCGUUCCAUUAGAUAGUAGGCGGGGUAACGGCCCACCUAGUCUUCGAUGGAUAGGGGUUCUGAGAGGAAGGUACCCCACAUUGGAACUGAGACACGGUCCAAACGCCUACGGGAGGCAGCAGUGAGGAAUAUUGGUCAAUGGGCGAGAGCCUGAACCAGCCAAGUAGCGUGAAGGAUGACUGCCCUAUGGGUUGUAAACUUCUUUUAUAAAGGAAUAAAGUCGGGUAUGUAUACCCGUUUGCAUGUACUUUAUGAAUAAGGAUCGGCUAACUCCG